UACAGAGGUCUCAAGCGUUGUUCGGAUUCAUUGGGCGUAAAGGGUGCGUAGGCGGCGCGGUAAGUCGGGUGUGAAAUCUUGGAGCUUAACUCCGAAACUGGUGGGCUUGAAUCCGGGAGAGGGAUGUGGAAUUCCAGGUGUAGCGGUGAAAUGCGUAGAUAUCUGGAGGAACACCGGUGGCGAAGGCGGCAUCCUGGACCGGUAUUGACGCUGAGGCGCGAAAGCUAGGGGAGCAAACGGG
rnacentral:rRNA from 1 species